rnacentral:rRNA from 1 species
AAUAGAUACCCUGGUAGUCCACGCCGUAAACGAUGAGUGCUAAGUGUUAGGGGGUUUCCGCCCCUUAGUGCUGCAGCUAACGCAUUAAGCACUCCGCCUGGGGAGUACGGUCGCAAGACUGAAACUCAAAGGAAUUGACGGGGGCCCGCACAAGCGGUGGAGCAUGUGGUUUAAUUCGAAGCAACGCGAAGAACCUUACCAGGUCUUGACAUCCCAUUGACCACUAUGGAGACAUAGUUUUCCCUUCGGGGACAACGGUGACAGGUGGUGCAUGGUUGUCGUCAGCUCGUGUCGUGAGAUGUUGGGUUAAGUCCCGCAACGAGCGCAACCCUUGUUCUUAGUUGCCAUCGUUUAGUUGGGCACUCUAAGGAGACUGCCGGUGACAAACCGGAGGAAGGUGGGGAUGACGUCAAAUCAUCAUGCCCCUUAUGACCUGGGCUACACACGUGCUACAAUGGACGGUACAAACGGUUGCCAACCCGCGAGGGGGAGCUAAUCCGAUAAAACCGUUCUCAGUUCGGAUUGUAGGCUGCAACUCGCCUACAUGAAGCC